rnacentral:rRNA from 1 species
UACGUAGGGCGCAAGCGUUGUCCGGAAUUAUUGGGCGUAAAGAGCUCGUAGGCGGUCUGUCGCGUCGGAUGUGAAAGCCCGGGGCUUAACUCCGGGUCUGCAUUCGAUACGGGCAGACUAGAGUGUGGUAGGGGAGAUCGAAUUCCUGGUGUAGCGGUGAAAUGCGCAGAUAUCAGGAGGAACACCGGUGGCGAAGGCGGAUCUCUGGGCCAUUACUGACGCUGAGGAGCGAAAGCGUGGGGAGCGAACAGG